AGCGGCGCACGGGUGAGUAACGCGUAUGCAACCUACCUUUUACAGGGGAAUAGCCCGGGGAAACCCGGAUUAAUACCCCAUAGUACUUUUUCAUCGCAUGAUGGGAUUGUUAAAGUUUCGGCGGUAAAAGAUGGGCAUGCGUGACAUUAGAUUGUUGGCGGGGUAACGGCCCACCAAGUCUGCGAUGUCUAGGGGUUCUGAGAGGAUGAUCCCCCACACUGGUACUGAGACACGGACCAGACUCCUACGGGAGGCAGCAGUGAGGAAUAUUGGUCAAUGGGCGCAAGCCUGAACCAGCCAUCCCGCGUGAAGGAAGACUGCCCUAUGGGUUGUAAACUUCUUUUCUGUACCAAGAAUGGCUCCUACGAGUAGGAGAUUGACGGUAGUACAGGAAUAAGCAUCGGCUAACUCCGUGCCAGCAGCCGCGGUAAUACGGAGGAUGCGAGCGUUAUCCGGAUUUAUUGGGUUUAAAGGGUGCGUAGGCGGCUUUUUAAGUCAGUGGUGAAAUCCUGCGGCUCAACCGUAGAACUGCCAUUGAUACUGAAGAGCUUGAAUACAAUUGAGGUAGGCGGAAUGAGUAGUGUAGCGGUGAAAUGCUUAGAUAUUACUCAGAACACCGAUUGCGAAGGCAGCUUACCAAACUGAUAUUGACGCUGAGGCACGAAAGCGUGGG
rnacentral:rRNA from 1 species